CGGGUGAGUAACACGUGGGCAAUCUGCCCUUCACUCUGCGGACAAGCCCUGGAAACGGGGUCUAAUACCGGAUAACACUCUUCCCUGCAUGGGGGAGGGUUGAAAGCUCCGGCGGUGGAGGAUGAGCCCGCGGCCUAUCAGCUUGUUGGUGGGGUGAUGGCCUACCAAGGCGACGACGGGUAGCCGGCCUGAGAGGGCGACCGGCCACACUGGGACUGAGACACGGCCCAGACUCCUACGGGAGGCAGCAGUGGGGAAUAUUGCACAAUGGGCGGAAGCCUGAUGCAGCGACGCCGCGUGAGGGAUGACGGCCUUCGGGUUGUAAACCUCUUUCAGCAGGGAAGAAGCGUGAGUGACGGUACCUGCAGAAGAAGCGCCGGCUAACUACGUGCCAGCAGCCGCGGUAAUACGUAGGGCGCAAGCGUUGUCCGGAAUUAUUGGGCGUAAAGAGCUCGUAGGCGGCUUGUCGCGUCGGAUGUGAAAGCCCGGGGCUCAACCCCGGGUCUGCAUUCGAUACGGGCAGGCUGGAGUGUGGUAGGGGAGAUCGGAAUUCCU
rnacentral:rRNA from 1 species